AGAAUCAACGCUGGCGGCGUGCCUCAGACAUGCAAGUCGAACGCGAAAGUCCCCUUCGGGGGUGAGUAGAGUGGCGCACGGGUGAGUAACACGUAGGUAAUCUACCUUCGGGUGGGGAAUAACAACCGGAAACGGUUGCUAACACCGCAUAAUGCAGCGGCACCUAAUGGUGACAGCUGUUAAAGCGGGGGAUCGAAAGACCUCGCGCCUGAAGAGGAGCCUGCGGCGGAUUAGCUAGUUGGUAAGGUAACGGCUUACCAAGGCGACGAUCCGUAGCCGGCCUGAGAGGGCGGUCGGCCACACUGACACUGACAUACGGGUCAGACUCCUACGGGAGGCAGCAGUCGGGAAUUUGGGCAAUGGCGCAAGCCUGACCCAGCAACGCCGCGUGAAGGAUGAAAUCCCUCGGGAUGUAAACUUCGCAAGAACGGAAGAAUAAAGCCGGUGUAAAUACCACCGGUGAUGAACGUACCGUUGUAAGCUCCGGCUAACUCCGUAGCCAGCAGCCGCGGUAA
rnacentral:rRNA from 1 species